UGACAACUCUUAACAAUGGAUAUCUUGGCUCUCGCAACGAUGAAGAACGCAGCGAAAUGCGAUACGUAGUGUGAAUUGCAGAAUUCCGUGAAUCAUCGAAUCUUUGAACGCAUAUUGCGCCCGAGGCUUGCCGAGGGCACGCCCGCCUCAGCGUCAGUG
rnacentral:rRNA from 1 species